GCUUGCACCUUAUCUUAGCGGCGGACGGGUGAGUAAUGCUUAGGAAUCUGCCUAUUAGUGGGGGACAACAUUCCGAAAGGAAUGCUAAUACCGCAUACGUCCUACGGGAGAAAGCAGGGGAUCUUCGGACCUUGCGCUAAUAGAUGAGCCUAAGUCGGAUUAGCUAGUUGGUGGGGUAAAGGCCUACCAAGGCGACGAUCUGUAGCGGGUCUGAGAGGAUGAUCCGCCACACUGGGACUGAGACACGGCCCAGACUCCUACGGGAGGCAGCAGUGGGGAAUAUUGGACAAUGGGGGGAACCCUGAUCCAGCCAUGCCGCGUGUGUGAAGAAGGCCUUAUGGUUGUAAAGCACUUUAAGCGAGGAGGAGGCUACUGAGACUAAUACUCUUGGAUAGUGGACGUUACUCGCAGAAUAAGCACCGGCUAACUCUGUGCCAGCAGCCGCGGUAAUACAGAGGGUGCGAGCGUUAAUCGGAUUUACUGGGCGUAAAGCGUGCGUAGGCGGCUUUUUAAGUCGGAUGUGAAAUCCNCCGAGCUUAACUUGGGAAUUGCAUUCGAUACUGGGAAGCUAGAGUAUGGGAGAGGAUGGUAGAAUUUCCAGGUGUAGCGGUGAAAUGCGUAGAGAUCUGGAGGAAUACCCGAUGGCGAAGGCAGCCAUCUGGCCUAAUACUGACGCUGAGGUACGAAAGCAUGGGGAGCAAACAGGAUU
rnacentral:rRNA from 1 species